GACGAACGCUGGCGGCGUGCUUAACACAUGCAAGUCGAACGGAAAGGCCCUGCUUUUGUGGGGUGCUCGAGUGGCGAACGGGUGAGUAACACGUGAGUAACCUGCCCUUGACUUUGGGAUAACUUCAGGAAACUUGGGCUAAUACCGGAUAGGAGCUCCUGCUGCAUGUUGGGGGUUGGAAAGUUUCGGCGGUUGGGGAUGGACUCGCGGCUUAUCAGCUUGUUGGUGGGGUAGUGGCUUACCAAGGCUUUGACGGGUAGCCGGCCUGAGAGGGUGACCGGCCACAUUGGGACUGAGAUACGGCCCAGACUCCUACGGGAGGCAGCAGUGGGGAAUAUUGCACAAUGGGCGGAAGCCUGAUGCAGCAACGCCGCGUGCGGGAUGACGGCCUUCGGGUUGUAAACCGCUUUCGCCUGUGACGAAGCGUGAGUGACGGUAAUGGGUAAAGAAGCACCGGCUAACUACGUG
rnacentral:rRNA from 1 species